UACAGGGGGGGCAAGCGUUGCUCGGAAUUACUGGGCGUAAAGGGCUUGUAGGUGGCCAACUAAGUCACACGUGAAAUCCCUCGGCUUAACCGGGGAACUGCGUCUGAUACUGGAUGGCUUGAGUUCGGGAGAGGGAUGCGGAAUUCCAGGUGUAGCGGUGAAAUGCGCAGAUAUCAGGAAGAACACCGAUGGCGAAGGCAGCUCUCUGGGACGGUACUGACGCUGAGACGCGAAAGCGUGGGGAGCGAACAGG
rnacentral:rRNA from 1 species